GUUUAAUAUCUGAUACGUCCUCGAUGAGAGGACUUUAUAUUAAACGGAUUUUUGGUAUUGGGAGUUGGACCCGGAGCUUGCUCCCUCCGCUCCGCGCAUCGUCCCGGUAUUGCAGUGCCUCCGGGUACGGUGCACCCCCG
rnacentral:snRNA from 1 species